AUAUUUCUGAACACUCCCGGUUGCAUUUGAUUCGAAACUUUUAGCUUUUUAUGGUAUUUGAAGUUGUAAGUUGUAUCAAAUGUAGCGAAAUGGCGGGAUUACCAUUAAUACGAAGAAGCGAAACUGAAACUGAAAGACAUGGAAUGCAGUUUGACCCUCCGGUUUAUAUUCAACGUUAUAGAACGGUUCGUGAUAUUCUUGAAAAAGAAAAAAUUGUUAAGGUAAUCGAUUUUGGGUGUGCAGAAGGGAAGUUCUUAAGAUAUAUCAAGAAAAUUGAAACUCUUGAAGAAAUUGCUGCUGUUGACUCUCAGUACAGUUGUUUGAUGGAUACAAGACAAAUUGCAGCACCUAUAGCAUGGGAUUUCUUGUUUAAAAGAAAAAGGCCUUUGUGCAUCAAGCUCUAUGAAGGAAGUAUUUCUGACUGUGAUAUUCGUGUGGCUGGGUUUGAUGCUGUAACAUGUAUAGAGUUAUUAGAGCACCUUAGUGACCCAGAACUUGACAGAGUACCAUAUACAGUGUUUGGAUACAUUCAACCUAGGGUAGCAAUUUUCACCACUCCAAACAAAGACUUCAACUGUUUGUUUCCUGAACUAAAAGGAUUUCGGCACUGGGACCACAAGUUUGAGUGGGACAGAAUUGAAUUUAGAACAUGGUCCUUUGUUAUCCUGUUUCAUUGCCUUCUGUGGAGCCUGUCUAACCUGUGGAAGAUUUUGACUAGGUUUUAACACCUCCAGCCUUUGCUUCCGGUUAUUCCUCAUAAAAAAAAACAUGUACUUCCUCCUUUUUUUUUUGCUUGCUAUGGACAUUUCUCAGACGGGGAUACUUCUUCCAGCAAGACAGUGAUCUCAGGUAUGCAGCAGAUGUAUUGAAACAAUAUCUUGACAGUAUAGAGACCAAUGGAACACUCACGGCCAUGACUUGCUCAAAAAGUCCCAAUAUGAGUAUUUUUGAGGCUGACCAAACAACUUGGGUGAAUUGUGGUGUUUGAAUGUUAUAAAACAGUUUUCCAACUACACUGUUGACAUUUUUGGAAUUGGAGAACCUCCUUCAGAGUCAGCCAGUCUUGGCUGCUGUAGCCAACUUGCUGUUUUUAGACAGAUUUUGGUUAACAAUCACAU
rnacentral:misc_RNA from 1 species